rnacentral:rRNA from 1 species
CCUACGGGUGGCAGCAGUGGGGAAUAUUGGACAAUGGGGUGACCCCUGAUCCAGCGACGCCGCGUGAGUGAAGAAUUAUUUCGGUAUGUAAAGCUCUAUCAGCAGGGAAGCAAGCAAUGACGGUACCUGACUAAGAAGCCCCGGCUAACUACGUGCCAGCCGCCGCUGUAAUACGUCGGGGGCCAGCGUUAUCCGGAUUUACUGGGUGUACAGGGAGACUAGACGGCGAUGCAAGUCUGAAGUGAAAGGCGGGGGCCCAACCCACGGACUGCUGUGGAAACUGUAUGGCUGGAGUGGAGGAGAAGUAAGUGGAAUUCGUAGUGUAGCGGUGAAAUGCGUAGAUAUUAGGCGGAACACCAGUGGCGAAGGCGGCUUACUGGAGUGUAACUGACGUUGAGGCUCGAAAGCGUGGGGAUCAAACAGGAUUAGAUACCCGGGUAGUC